rnacentral:rRNA from 1 species
ACGGGGGGGGCAAGCGUUGUUCGGAAUUACUGGGCGUAAAGGGCGCGUAGGCGGUUUGCUAAGUUGAAUGUGAAAACUCUGGGCUUAACCCAGAGCCUGCAUUCAAUACUGGCAGGCUGGAGUUCUGGAGGGGAUAGCGGAAUUCCUGGUGUAGCGGUGAAAUGCGUAGGUAUCAGGAGGAACACCGGUGGCGAAGGCGGCUCGCUGGGACGGUACUGACGCUGAGACGCGAAAGCGUGGGGAGCAAACAGGA